AGGCGCGAUCGCCUUGAGUUUGAUAUGGCUCAGAUUGAACGCUGGCGGCAUGCCUUACACAUGCAAGUCGAGCGGCAGCGCGGGGGCAACCCUGGCGGCGAGCGGCGAACGGGUGAGUAAUGCAUCGGAACGUGUCCUCUUGUGGGGGAUAACCAGUCGAAAGACUGGCUAAUACCGCAUGAGAUCGAGAGAUGAAAGCAGGGGACCCGAGGGUAACUUCGGGCCUUGCGCGAGAGGAGCGGCCGAUGUCGGAUUAGCUAGUUGGUGGGGUAAUGGCCUACCAAGGCGACGAUCCGUAGCUGGUCUGAGAGGACGACCAGCCACACUGGGACUGAGACACGGCCCAGACUCCUACGGGAGGCAGCAGUGGGGAAUUUUGGACAAUGGGGGCAACCCUGAUCCAGCCAUGCCGCGUGUGUGAAGAAGGCCUUCGGGUUGUAAAGCACUUUCGGCCGGAACGAAAUCGCGCGAGCUAACACCCCGCGUGGAUGACGGUACCGGAAGAAGAAGCACCGGCUAACUACGUGCCAGCAGCCGCGGUAAUACGUAGGGUGCGAGCGUUAAUCGGAAUUACUGGGCGUAAAGUGUGCGCAGGUGGCCGCGCAUGUCGAGUGUGAAAUCCCCGGGCUUAACUUGGGAAUUGCGCUCGAAACUACGUGGCUAGAGUGUGGCAGAGGGAGGUGGAAUUCCACGUGUAGCGGUGAAAUGCGUAGAGAUGUGGAGGAACACCAAUGGCGAAGGCAGCCUCCUGGGCCAACACUGACACU
rnacentral:rRNA from 1 species